CCUGGUUGAUCCUGCCAGUAGUCAUAUGCUUGUCUCAAAGAUUAAGCCAUGCAUGUCUAAGUCCAAGCUGUGUUUACACGGCGAGACCGCGGACGGCUCAUUAAAUCAGUCGUGGUCUACAUGGGCCAGUGCAAAUCCUACUUGGAUAACUGUGGUAAUUCCAGAGCUAAUACAUGCAACUGAUAUCCCGAAGGCUGGUGCUUGCUUGUCUUGCGCUUUGCUCUGACGGAUGCUUUUAUUAGACCAAGCCGCUGAGGACUUGAUUGCUCACGCUUUCUUGUUCGACUCGUGUGAUGGUGACUCUGGAUAACCAAUUCUGACAAGCGAACGUACUCCUCUUUGAGCGAGACGGCGCUGCCACUUUCGAGUGUCUGCCUUAUCAGCUAUCAACCGUUCGUUAUGCGCGACCGAUGGCUUUGACGGGUAACGGGGAAUCAGGGUUCGAUUCCGGAGAGGCAGCCUGAGAGACGGCUACCACGUCCAAGGACGGCAGCAGGCACGCAAAUUACCCAAUCCCAGCAAAUGGGGGAGGUAGUGACGAAAUCUAACGAUGCGGGCGCCCUUUCUGGGGCCCCGCAAUCGGAAUGGGCACUUUCUAAAACACCUGUUGAGAACCUACUGAAGGGCAAGUCUGGUGCCAGCAGCCGCGGUAAUUCCAGCUUCAGCAGCAUCUAUUAAAGUUGCUGCGGUUAAAAGGCUCGCAGUUGAAUGUCUGUAUCGAGCGCAGGUAGGUGGACGUUGGGGCGUGGAUAUACGGGCAGUUGGGUCGUCGUGUUCGUUUACUCGUGCGCGGCGGUCUUUCGGCUUUUCCACAAACCCCCGUCCGUUACAAGCCUCCUCGCUCGGGUACAUAACGGAUAUCGGUCAAAGGAGUGUGGUCGUGUGCGUUUAACCGCGUGCGCGGCUGCGUUAAGCUCCAUCGGUGUCACGGUCACCUUGAGUAAAUCAGAGUGCUCAAAGCAGUCGUAGGGGCCUUGCGCCCUGUGAACAGUCUUGACGGACUGACUUGGUUUUGCAUGGCAUGUCGGAAGACGACGUCGUGUGCUGGCUCAGAGGAUAAAUCAGUGGUACAAGCCAGCCUCGACGUAAUGAUUAAAAGGGACGGUCGAGGGCAUUGGUAUUGCGGGGCGAGAGGUGAAAUUCUAUGACCCCCGCAAGACCUCCUGAAGCGAAAGCGUCUGCCAAGGACGUUUUCAUUAAUCAUGAACGAAAGUUAGAGGAUCGAAGGCGAUCAGAUACCGCCCUAGUUCUAACCCUAAACGAUGCCAACCAUCAAUCCGCGCGUAGACCCCUUCUUAACGGGCUCGGCGGGCAGCUCCCCACUCACGGGAAACCAGAGCCUCUGGGUUCCGGGGGGAGUCUGGUUGCAAAGCUGAAACUUAAAGGAAUUGACGGAAAGGCACCACCAGGCGUGGAGCCUGCGGCUUAAUUUGACUCAACACGGGCCAUCUCACCAGGCCAGCACUCUUGUACGAUUGACAGAUUGAGAGCUCUUUCUCGAUUCAGUGGAUGGUGGUGCAUGGCCGUUCUUAGUUGGUGGAGUGAUCUGUCUGGUUAAUUCCGAUAACGAACGAGACUCUCCCCUGCUAACUAGUCGGUUGGAUCUUGAUCAGUGGGUUGCGUGCUGAGUAGCUCUCGCUGCGAGUGUGUGCGCGCGCGUGUGGGGCAACCUUCCGCGUGUGUGCUGCGUAGUGUUGGACGCCUCGGAUCACACUGCACCCCAAGUCCGCCGCUUAUGCUAUAACUCUUCUUAGAGGGAUUCACGGCACUGAAGCCGUAAGAGACUGAGAGCAAUAACAGGUCUGUGAUGCCCUUAGAUGCUCUGGGCCGCACGCGCGCUACAAUGCCGGGCACAGCAGGUGUUUCUCCUGCUCCGACAGGAGCGGGUAACCCUCUGAAAGCCAGUGUUUUUGCAAGUGUCACCUCCCUCGUGGAGUGGCACAAAGGCGUGCUUGGGCCUGGGACUUGCAAUUCUUUCCCACCAACGAGGAAUGCCUAGUAGCGGCGGGUCACUGAGCCCGCUGUGACUCAGUCCCUGCCCUUUGUACACACCGCCCGUCGCUACUACCGAUUGGGUGUACCAGUGAGAGCCUUGGACUGGCGUCCGUUGUUGCUUUUAGUGACAAACGGGUCCGACGGAAAGAGGUCCGAACUGGUGCACUUAGAGGAAGUAAAAGUCGUAACAAGGUUUCCGUAGGUGAACCUGCGGAAG
rnacentral:rRNA from 1 species